rnacentral:rRNA from 1 species
UACAGAGGGUGCGAGCGUUGUUCGGAAUUAUUGGGCGUAAAGGGUGCGUAGGCGGUUUGGCAAGUCUUAUGUGAAAUCUAUGGGCUCAACCCAUAGUCUGCAUAAGAAACUGCCGGGCUUGAGUAUGGGAGAGGUGAGUGGAAUUUCCGGUGUAGCGGUGAAAUGCGUAGAUAUCGGAAGGAACACCUGUGGCGAAAGCGGCUCACUGGACCAUAACUGACGCUGAUGCACGAAAGCUAGGGGAGCAAACAG